rnacentral:tRNA from 2 species
UCCUCAGUAGCUCAGUGGUAGAGCGAUCGGCUGUUAACCGGUUGGUCGUAGGUUCAAGUCCUACCUGGGGAG